AGCUUUGCGCAGUGGCAGUAUCGUAGCCAAUGAGGUUUAUCCGAGGCGCGAUUAUUGCUAAUUGAAAACAACGAAGUAAACUGACAAAUGACAGCCCUUGGGC
rnacentral:snRNA from 1 species